AUGAAUAUCGUUGGGAUAGGUGCCCUACGGGGCUUAAUAGGGAAGUCCGGUGCAAUGCCGGCGCGGUCCCGCCACUGUAACGGGGAGCAAUCUCGCAGAUAUGCCACUGGAGCGAACGCUUUGGGAAGGUGCGAGAAAGCAAUGAACCGGAGCCAGGAGAACUGCCUGUCUGACAAUCACCGU
rnacentral:ncRNA from 2 species